UGCCAGCCUUUCAUUUUCUGAAAUGUAGUUCUCAACCUCAGUACCAACUGUGACAUUACUAGCCUGCAUGAGCCUCUUAUUCCCAACCAAAACCAUUUUUUCACCCACUUUUCCACUCACCCCAGCUCCAGUGUGCACCUCAAAGUCUUUAGCCUCUGCAACAUGUUCUGUGCUAGACCCAAUCUUCUGGCGUAUCCUCUUAGCAUGCUCCACCACAGCUUUUGCUAUUGGGUGUUCACUAUUCGCCUCAGCAGCAGUAGCCAUGUCACAAAAUUCCUCCAUUGAGAAACUGGAAAAAAGCACAGCACUAACUACCACUGGUUUUCCAACUGUUAAUGUACCUGUCUUGUCAAAGACAACUGUUUUCACCUUGUAUGCCUUUUCAAGUGCAUCUCCACCUUUGAUGAGCACACCUUGAGAAGCACCUUUACCUGUGGCAACCAUGACCGCUGUUGGUGUUGCUAGCCCUAGGGCACAUGGACAUGCAACCACCAAUACGGAUAUACCAAACUGCAGGGCAAGCUCAAAUCCGUCCAUGGCUUUUGGUAUCCAAUGUCUAGGGUAAAGACCAGCUUCUCCAGGAAUAAACCAUCCCAGCCAUGUUACAAAGGCUGCAAUAACAACAGUGGGAACGAAAAACUUGGAGAUUUGGUCUGCUAGUUUCUGAACAGGCGCCCUGGCAAGCUGAGCAGCUUCUACAAGUUGAACAAUUUGAGAAAGUGCAGUCUCUGAACCAACAUGAGUAGCCUUGACCAGUAAGCAUCCAUUCUCAUUCAUGGUCCCACCAAUUACCUUGUCACCAGGUCUUUUAGCAAUGGCCCUUGCCUCUCCUGUGAUCAUACUUUCAUUCACAUGGCUUUGACCAUCUAUGACAAUCCCAUCAACAGGGACUUUUGCCCCUGGAACAAUCUUUAUUAUAUCAUUCCUUUGUAUCAGUUCAGUAACGAUUUCCAUCUCUGAGACAACAUUUCCAUUACUAUCUCGUGUUAACAGGUAAGCCGUAUCAGGAGAAAGUUCUGUCAACUUCGCUAAAGCGUCUGAAGUCUUUCCUUUAGCUAGAACCUCCAAAUACUUUCCCAGAAGAAUAAAGGAUAUCAACAUGGCACUUGUCUCAAAGAAAUCUUGCCCUUCAAAUUUCUUAGAAGUCAUUGCUUUUAUCACUAUAUAUACAGAGUAAAAAUAAGCAGCAUUGGUGCCUAGUGCAACCAAAACAUCCAUAUUAGCUGAUUUCCUUCGCAAUGCAUGGUAAGAUCCCACAUAGAACCUUCGGCCAACCAUGAACUGCACAGGCGUGCAUAGAAUCCACCUAAGAAACAUCCCAAUGCUAAGCAUGUUUUGAAUCCUGUACUCUAACCAGUUACCAUAAGGAUGAAGCAUUGGAAGCA
rnacentral:misc_RNA from 1 species